UCUCCGUUGGUGAACCAGCGGAGGGAACAUUACCGAAGUUACCUUCAAAACCCACUGUGAACCUUACCUCUUGCCGCGUUGUCUCGGCGGGAGGCGGUGUGCGUCGCGCGCCCUAGCGGGCCGCGCCGCUCCCGUCCCCGCCGGCAGCGCCAAACUCUAAAUGCACAGCGGACUGUACGUUCUGAUUUACAAAAAAAAACAAGUUAAAACUUUCAACAACGGAUCUCUUGGUUCUG
rnacentral:misc_RNA from 1 species